UCUUGUUUUUCAACGGUCAUUUUGCCAUCAUACUGCAUAGUUUCUUCGAAGAUGUCGGAUUAUAAAAUGCUCGACGGAUAUCAAAGCUGCGAUAAAAGUGCAUGUGAUCUGCAACAGAAAUGCGCCUGGAAAAAAAAUCUUCAGAUCCUUUCCUCGCAGAAGGAUCUUGCUGGAGGCAUAGCAGCACAGAAAAUAUAGCAGUUCCCGGGUACAUGGCAUCGUUUGUUCCGGCGUGCGACCGAAGUGGAAUUGCUACAGUGCCGCAGAGCUUGGAGAUAGAAAAUAAUGCUCAAGUAGCUGAUAUCAAAGAUAUUAUAUUCUGAUAUUCAAAACAUGCAUCGUAGCAUAAAAAAGAGGAUCAACUUAUACCGGCGAUAGCAUAAAAUUCCAAAUUAAAGGAACACCAAAAGUGAUAAUUAUAUUUGUGAUUGAAAUUGUGAAUAAAAUAAAAACUUGAAAUAUAAAA